rnacentral:rRNA from 1 species
GGUAAUCAGCAGUGAUUAAUUUUGUACAUAAGCGCAAGCUUGAUUCAGUUAAAGAAAAGAGGGCCGGCUAACGUUGGUGCCAGCCGCCGCGGCUACACCCUAGGGCUCAAGUUGAUAAUCAUCGGCGUUAAGCGUGAUUAAAGUUACUAAAAUAUUAGGAUUAAAUUAACACUUAGUAGUUUUAUGCUUGUUGUUAAGAAACACACAAACGAAAGUUAUCCUAUAUAUACUUGAAUACACGACAGCUAGGAAGACAAACUGGGAUUAGAUACCCCACUAUGCCUAGCCGUAAACAAUUAAUUUACACCUAUCAGCGCCAGGGAACUACGAGCAAUGCUUAAAACCCAAAGGAUUUGACGGUGUCCCACCCAGCUAGAGGAGCCUGUUCUAUAAUCGAUGAUCCCCGCUACACCCGACCAUUUUUAGCUAAUCAGUCUGUAUACCUCCGUCGAAAGCUUACCAUGUGAACGCUCUUCAGUAGGCUCAAUGAUUCAAUACCCAUCAACACGUCAGGUCAAGGUGCAGCUUAAGAAAUGGGAAGCUAUUGGCUACAAUUUCUAACUUAGAACAAACGAAAGGCUAUGUGAAAUCAUAACCAUGAAGGUGGAUUUAGUAGUAAAAAGAAAAUAGAGUGUUCUUUUUAACCCGGCUCUGG